rfam:Streptomyces albulus strain NK660, complete genome.
AAGGCACCUCGUUCGGUGAGGCGUCUGCACGGACACAGGCCACUGACCCGACGACGUCGAGAGACGCCCAGGUUCAGGACAGGUCUCCCCGGCCUAAGGGGUGACCCCAAGUGGCUUCCCCCACAAGCGGAAUACGCCGUGCAGUGCCAAAGCUCUGACGAGUUGGGGUGAACC